rnacentral:rRNA from 1 species
GCCUAACACAUGCAAGUCGAACGGUAACAGGAAGAAGCUUGCUUCUUUGCUGACGAGUGGCGGACGGGUGAGUAAUGUCUGGGAAACUGCCUGAUGGAGGGGGAUAACUACUGGAAACGGUAGCUAAUACCGCAUAACGUCGCAAGACCAAAGAGGGGGACCUUCGGGCCUCUUGCCAUCGGAUGUGCCCAGAUGGGAUUAGCUAGUAGGUGGGGUAACGGCUCACCUAGGCGACGAUCCCUAGCUGGUCUGAGAGGAUGACCAGCCACACUGGAACUGAGACACGGUCCAGACUCCUACGGGAGGCAGCAGUGGGGAAUAUUGCACAAUGGGCGCAAGCCUGAUGCAGCCAUGCCGCGUGUAUGAAGAAGGCCUUCGGGUUGUAAAGUACUUUCAGCGGGGAGGAAGGGAGUAAGGUUAAUACCUUUGCUCAUUGACGUUACCCGCAGAAGAAGCACCGGCUAACUCCGUGCCAGCAGCCGCGGUAAUACGGAGGGUGCAAGCGUUAAUCGGAAUUACUGGGCGUAAAGCGCACGCAGGCGGUUUGUUAAGUCAGAUGUGAAAUCCCCGGGCUCAACCUGGGAACUGCAUCUGAUACUGGCAAGCUUGAGUCUCGUAGAGGGGGGUAGAAUUCCAGGUGUAGCGGUGAAAUGCGUAGAGAUCUGGAGGAUACCGGUGGCGAAGG